rnacentral:rRNA from 1 species
AUUGAACGCUGGCGGCAGGCUUAACACAUGAAAGUAGAACGAGUGGCGGACGGGUGAGUAAUGCUUGGGAAUCUAGCUUAUGGAGGGGGAUAACUACGGGAAACUGUAGCUAAUACCGCGUACCAUAGGAUGAGCCAAAGUGGGAUUAGGUAGUUGGUGAGGUAAAGGCUCACCAAGCCGACGAUCUCUAGCUGGUCUGAGAGGAUGACAAGCCACACUGGGACUGAGACACGGCCCAGACGCCUACGGGAGGCAGCAGUGGGUAAUAGUGCGCAUUGGGGGCAACCCUGACGCAGCCAUGCCGCGUGAAUGAAGAAGGCCUUAGGGUUGUAAAGUACUUUCAGCGGGGAGGCGUUACCCGCAGAAGAAGCACCGGCGAACUCCGUGCCAGCAGCCGCGGUAAUUC